rnacentral:rRNA from 1 species
CGUUAGCGGCGGACGGGUGAGUAACACGUGGGUAACCUACCUAUAAGACUGGGAUAACUUCGGGAAACCGGAGCUAAUACCGGAUAAUAUUUCGAACCGCAUGGUUCGAUAGUGAAAGAUGGCUCUGCUAUCACUUAUAGAUGGACCUGCGCCGUAUUAGCUAGUUGGUAAGGUAACGGCUUACCAAGGCAACGAUACGUAGCCGACCUGAGAGGGUGAUCGGCCACACUGGAACUGAGACACGGUCCAGACUCCUACGGGAGGCAGCAGUAGGGAAUCUUCCGCAAUGGGCGAAAGCCUGACGGAGCAACGCCGCGUGAGUGAUGAAGGUCUUCGGAUCGUAAAACUCUGUUAUUAGGGAAGAACAAACGUGUAAGUAACUGUGCACGUCUUGACGGUACCUAAUCAGAAAGCCACGGCUAACUACGUGCCAGCAGCCGCGGUAAUACGUAGGUGGCAAGCGUUAUCCGGAAUUAUUGGGCGUAAAGCGCGCGUAGGCGGUUUUUUAAGUCUGAUGUGAAAGCCCACGGCUCAACCGUGGAGGGUCAUUGGAAACUGGAAAACUUGAGUGCAGAAGAGGAAAGUGGAAUUCCAGGUGUAGCGGUGAAAUGCGCAGAGAUAUGGAGGAACACCAGUGGCGAAGGCGACUUUCUGGUCUGUAACUGACGCUGAUGUGCGAAAGCGUGGGGAUCAAACAGGAUUAGAUACCCUGGUAGUCCACGCCGUAAACGAUGAGUGCUAAUGGUUAGGGGGGUUUCCGCCCCUUAGUGCUGCAGCUAACGCAUUAAGCACUCCGCCUGGGGAGUACGACCGCAAGGUUGAAACUCACAGGAAUUGACGGGGACUCGCACAAGCGGUGGAACAUGUGGUUUAAUUCGAAGCAACGCGAAGAACCUUACCAAAUCUUGACAUCCUUUGACCCUUCUAGAAGAUAGAAGUUUUCCCCUUCGGGGGACAAAGUGACAGGUGUUGCAUGGUUGUCGUCAGCUCGUGUCGUGAGAUGUUGGGUUAAGUCCCGCAACGAGCGCAACCCUGAAGCUUAGUUGCCAUCAUUAAGUUGGG